GAUGAACGCUGGCGGCGUGCCUAAUACAUGCAAGUCGAGCGAAUGGAUUGAGAGCUUGCUCUCAAGAAGUUAGCGGCGGACGGGUGAGUAACACGUGGGUAACCUGCCCAUAAGACUGGGAUAACUCCGGGAAACCGGGGCUAAUACCGGAUAAUAUUUUGAACUGCAUGGUUCGAAAUUGAAAGGCGGCUUCGGCUGUCACUUAUGGAUGGACCCGCGUCGCAUUAGCUAGUUGGUGAGGUAACGGCUCACCAAGGCAACGAUGCGUAGCCGACCUGAGAGGGUGAUCGGCCACACUGGGACUGAGACACGGCCCAGACUCCUACGGGAGGCAGCAGUAGGGAAUCUUCCGCAAUGGACGAAAGUCUGACGGAGCAACGCCGCGUGAGUGAUGAAGGCUUUCGGGUCGUAAAACUCUGUUGUUAGGGAAGAACAAGUGCUAGUUGAAUAAGUUGGCACCUUGACGGUACCUAACCAGAAAGCCACGGCUAACUACGUGCCAGCCGCCGCCGUAAAAC
rnacentral:rRNA from 1 species